rnacentral:tRNA from 1 species
GUUUAAAUAGCUUACAUGAGCACAAUAUUGAAGAUAUUGGGGUAAUAUAUUUAUAUUUUUAAACA